rnacentral:tRNA from 1 species
GAGGGUACAGCUCAGUGGUAGAGCACAUGCUGCAUGAGGUCCUGGGUUCAAUCCCCAGUACCUUCA